GGUUGAGGAAUAAAAAUAAAUCCCGGGGAUAAGAACUGACAGGUAUGGAGAGAUCAGGCGCCUGUUCAGCCAAUCAGCGUCUGCGUGGGAUGCUACUUCCAAAGACUGAAAAGCUCCAGCAUGAUAGCCGAACAGGCAGUCGGUCCUUCAGCUCUCAGUGGAACAAAAGGUGACAACUAACGUGCAACAAUGAGAUCAGUCUUGAUCUCUUUUGCCGUCAUUUUAUUCAUCAGUGCUGUUGUGAUGGACGUGUCAGGAGCACCCACCUCGGAGUUCUCUCCCUACAAGAGAUACCGUCAAUACCAAACCAGCUUCUUUCCCAUUUACUACCCAAACAACGGAUUCACGUCAUUCCUCAAGCAAAUGCGCAGUUUGGACUCGGAGUUUUUGAGCAAGAGAUCAGUCAACCCGCGAGACAACCAAUUCUGGACCAAGAUGAAGAAAGAUUUGGAAUUCGCUGCGCCGCUUGUUGUCGACCAUCCGACGAGCGCGGAAGUAGAGGAAUGAGAUCAUUAUUUGUAGAUGUCAGAGGUAUACAAUAAAUAAAUAAAAUGCAGACUCCA